rnacentral:rRNA from 1 species
GACGAACGCUGGCGGCGUGCCUAACACAUGCAAGUCGAACGGAGCACUUCGGUGCUUAGUGGCGAACGGGUGAGUAACGCGUGAGAAACCUGCCUUUCAGUGGGGGACAACAGUUGGAAACGACUGCUAAUACCGCAUAAUGUAUUCAGGGGGCAUCCCUUGAAUACCAAAGCUUUAUCCGCUAAAGGAUGGACUCGCGUCCGAUUAGCUAGUUGGUGGGGUAACGGCCCACCAAGGCGACGAUCGGUAGCCGGACUGAGAGGUUGAACGGCCACAUUGGGACUGAGACACGGCCCAGACUCCUACGGGAGGCAGCAGUGGGGAAUAUUGCACAAUGGGGGAAACCCUGAUGCAGCGACGCCGCGUGAGGGAAGACGGUCUUCGGAUUGUAAACCUCUGUCCUUGGUGACGAAUAAAUGACGGUAGCCUUGGAGGAAGCCACGGCUAACUACGUG